GGCAGCAGCUAAGAAUAUUCCACAAUGGACGAAAGUCUGAUGGAGCGACGCCGCGUGGGCGAUGAAGGCCGUGAGGUUGUAAAGCCCUUUUCUUGAGGGGGAAUAAUGCGGGCAGGGAAUGGCCUGCAGAUGACGUGAAUCAAGGAAUAAGCCCCGGCUAACUACGUGCCAGCAGCCGCGGUAACACGUAGGGGGCGAGCGUUGUUCGGAAUCAUUGGGCGUAAAGGGCGCGCAGGCGGCCGUGUAAGUCUGGUGUAAAAUGGUUGUGCUCAACACAAUCAUGCGCUGGAAACUGCGGGGCUUGAGUCAACGAGGGGAUGCCGGAAUUCCAGGUGUAGGGGUGAAAUCUGUAGAUAUCUGGAAGAACACCAGUGGCGAAGGCAGGCAUCUGGCGACUGACUGACGCUGAGGCGCGAAGGUGCGGGGAGCAAACAGGUUUAGAUACCCUGGUAGUCCGCACAGUAAACGAUGUGCACCAGGUGGCGGGCAGCAGUCUCGGUACCGAAGCAAACGCAUUAAGUGCACCGCCUGGGGAGUAUGCCCGCAAGGGUGAAACUCAAAGGAAUUGACGG
rnacentral:rRNA from 1 species